rnacentral:hammerhead_ribozyme from 1 species
AUCCAUCUAACGAGUCUCAAAUGGGACGAAGCGCGCGUCGUGGAU